rnacentral:rRNA from 1 species
UACGAAGGUGGCAAGCGUUGUUCGGAUUUACUGGGCGUAAAGGGAGCGUAGGUGGUUAGGUAAGCCCUCCGGGAAAUCUUCAGGCUUAACCUGAAAAGGUCGGGGGGGACUGCCUAGCUAGAGGGCGGGAGAGGAGCGCGGAAUUCCCGGUGUAGCGGUGAAAUGCGUAGAUAUCAGGAGGAACACCGGUGGCGAAGGCGGCUCACUGGCUCGUAACUGACGCUCAUGCACGACAGCGUGGGGAUCAAACAGG